rnacentral:tRNA from 1 species
GAAGUCUUAGUAUAAUUUUUAGUAUGUCUUUUUUUCGUGAAGAUGGUUAGGAUUUUU